rfam:Oryza barthii chromosome 3, whole genome shotgun sequence.
AACAAAUGUAAUUUCGCACUGUUCUUAUCUAAUGUUUAACAUUUCAUCUUAAUUAAAUUUUUUUAUGAUUAGUAUUUUUAUUGUUAUUAGAUGAUAAAUUAUAAAUAGUAUUUUAUGUGUGACUAAUAUUUUUAAAUUUUUUCAUAAAUUUUUUUUAAAUAAGACAGACGGUCAAACGUUGGAUACAGAUACCCUCGGCUACAUUUAUU